AGUGGCGGGGUUCUCGCCGGUCCUGCGGGUCGCUGCUUGGCUGUGGGUUAGCAGCACCCUGAGCGGAGCGGAAGAGCUGCCCGCCGCCGCGUAACCCCGAGGCCGAGACUCCUGGCCUGGCCUCCUUGGGCCCACGACGCCUGCCCCGCGGAGCGGACCCAUGGGCCUGAGGUUUGUGUGCGGGGCCUCAGGCGAGCGCUGGCGCAGCCUGUCCCCCAUCGUCUGCGCCCUGCGGGCCUGGCCCUCCCCGUGGAAGGACCGCGGGCUUCGGGGCCCCACGCUGGGGGGCUGACUCCUGCCACACACACAGCGGUGGCCGCGGGCCUGGGGCGGCAGCACAGCCAUUCUGCUCGGGCUGCGUGAGCUGACCCCGCUCUCUGUGCACCUACUUUUGCUGCGUUUGGUGCUGAGCCUGAAGUCCCAGGACAGGCGGCUGAGGGGGAAAGAUGGUGUGAAUUGGGUGGGCAGAGACAACUGAAAGCCACAGGACCCGGUUGGCACCUUUUUGGCCGCCUGCGCCUUUGCCUGCAGCCCCGCUCCCUGGGUCACCCGAAGGAGGAGCUGGCGCUCUUUCCGGGCGCAGAAGCACCCGACCCACGCUGGAGGAAACGGUCCCUCUGGGCAGGAGAAGCUUUGGGCCUGGCUGGAGCACACUCACGGAACCACGCCAACGCCUGGCCUGUAGCCAGCUCCCACCUCCCCUCCCACCUUCUAAAAUGCUUGCGGAUCUCACGUGGCCGACCCUAACCAGAUACACAUGGGGAAAGGAAUCAGGUGGCACACAUACCGCCUUUACUCCAUAGAGAACUUCCAAUUGUGGGUAAGAACAAAGCCCCACCUCUUCCUAAUAGAUGCAGUUUUCCACCUGCAGCCAAAAAGACAACCUGUUAUUAGCUUUUUUCCCAGAGGACAGGCAUCUCUAUGAAACUGCCAUUGCAAAAUUUGCCGACAGUGAGAUAACCAGCUCCAUUUUGCUUCUAACCUCCAUGCCCUCCUUGUUUACUGCUGCACGCAGGUUGAACUGUGGGAGGAACUUAGUUUAAAACAAAGAUGAUAACAGCCCUUUCCCAAAGGAAACCUUUCCUGGGGAUUAGCCUGCUUUUGUGGGACCAACAGAUUAGCCACAAGAUUAGAAACUACGGUUGAAGAGUCACGCAGCGGGAGGCUACAGGAUUCUGACCCUCCCCAAACUGCUCCUGGCGAUAACAUCACCAUCGUAAAGCCUAAGAUCAGCACUUGGUGGGUCACCUGGCACCACCCAGGCUCAUCUGAUGUUGUGGCACCCAGGAACUGACUCAGUGCGAAAACAGCUUCGACUCCCUGUGAUUUCAUCUCUGACCUGACCAAUGGGUACUUCUGACUCACUGGCUGCCCCCCACCCACCAGCUUAUCUUUAAAAACUCCAAACCCCAGAUGCUCAGGGAGACCGAGUAAUAAUAAAACUCCAGUCUCCCACACAGCUAGCUCUGCGUGAAUUACCUUUUCUCUGUUGCAAAUGCCCUUUCUUGAUAAAUUGGCUGUCUAGGUAACAGGGAAGGUGAACCCACUGGGCAGUUACACUUUUAUCCACCCUUCCAGCUGGAUCACGCGCCCUCUUCAAUGACAUGACACGCAGCUAGAGUGUAUGAGCUUGCUGCCGGCACCUUCCGUCCUGGAUCGCAUAGCAAGGCCUCAAUGGACAGCCAGGUGCCUGGUCCGGUCCCACUUUUUUUUCUGUCCUGUUCUCGUUUCCUCUUUGCUUGGCCAAAGAGGGUUGGGCCAGGGUCCUGAGUGCAAAGGCUUGGCUUGGUGAAUUAAAGUGGCAGUAGCCGUGUGGCAGAGAAAAUUUGUAGAUGGGUGAAAUCCUGGGCCUACACAGUGACAAAGUGUAUAUAGACAGCCAGCCUAGUUGGUGGAUGUGACAACCCCAGACUCUUCUAGAUUUGUGGAUCCGUGCACCUGCCAGACCUGUCUCUGAGCCAUCUGGGGAGGCUGGGUAAGAUUUCCCCCGUCAGGGCCUGAGCCUCAUCUCCAAGCUGCUGGCUUCAGCCCAGCUGCCACCAGCGCUGUCUCUGUCUUGCGCUUUCCAGAGAGAGACUGACUCAUUUUGAGCUCCAGGCCUACCAGGCAGCCCAACCGCGGCAGUAACUGCCUCUCACACUGAGGAUGGCUCAUGCUCUGGUCCAGCCAUGGCUUGAACACCUCCCAACAAGAACAAAGCCAGACUCAUUCUCCCUAGCAUCUUCUUCCUUGCUCAAAGAUCCCACACCCCGUUAGAAGCUGGAACUGGGUCCUUGUCACCUUCCUCACCUCCCCAGUCGUAGUCUGGUUAAUCCUUACAUCUCACCACGGUCACCGUGGCUAGAUGUGACCUCCGCGAUGCUUCAGGCACGUACCAGGGCAGCCUGGGCAGGGCUGGUCACUGUGAUCUCAUGAGGUGUGAACUUGACCCCGGCCUUCUUUCCUGGGAUGCCGGCUAAGGACACAAGUUCAGUGUUUGCCCUGGCUUGUAGCCCAGCGGGGGCUCCGUCAUCCCCUGGGGAAUGCCUCGGCCUGCAAGACCGCAUACCGCAUUGGAACAGGGAAACCACCUACUUCAGCACCUCCCUCAGCAAGGUGGCAGGUCCCAACAAGCCUUGCACCACGAGGAAGUGGCAGUGGCAUUCGGGAUAUGGCUCCCUGGCCAGCUUGUGAAGUUCAAGGGGCUCGUUACUUCUUACAGCUCACAGUCCCUCCCGGGUCCAGCACACCUGAGGGCUGACCUCCCUCUUGAUUAGUGCAGGGGAAAAGCACUUUAAAAAGCUGUGUCAUGCGUAACUUGCACAUCUUCUGAUUCUGACCUGAAACUGCAUCCCAGGUCGGCACAGACGCAACCCAGUCUCCUCCCACCUCCGAGAGUGCAGUGUCCUGAAUGGAGAACCCCAGCACCCAGAAGCAUCCACUGAAGGACGUAAGUAGGACAAGGCCAACUGUGGCUGUUCCAGCAGAGGGACUGUGGGUGAUGUUUCCCUUCUCUGAUUUCUAAAAUAUCUGCAAACUUGUUUCAUUUAUAAUUGAAAAUAUAAUUUGCAUAACAACAGUAAAUUCUACACAUGAAGGCAAACGUCCGUGGUUGACAGAAAUUACACUGGCCAGAAUCCCCAGUCCCCAUGAGGCUUGUCCAGACGCAGUGAACCAGUCGCAGCUGAUAACACACAGACCAUUCCCGAUCCCAGAGGUGCAUUUCAGGAUUCAUUCUAUUUCAUCAGAGACGGGGUCUUCCUGUGUUGCCCAGGCUGGUCUCGAACUCCUGGGCUGAAGCAAUCUUCCUGCCUUGGCCUCCCAGAGGGUUGGAAUUGCAGAUGUGAGGUACUUCUUUGAUAGUGCCUCCAUGCAUGCAGAAGAUGACGUGGAGAGCUCCGCGCGGCACAGGGCAGGAAGCUGGUGUGCACUCUCAUGGAUCCGAAGCCAACACACGCCUCUCAACUGAGGACUCUGCCCCUCUGGCAUUCUUCCAGCCACCAGCCCUGGGGGCCAGGAGCCACUGAGUGGGUCACACAGCCUUAGAGGGCAACGAGGGCAGGAGCUCGCCCUGGCGGUCCCCAUGCAGACAAGAGGGUCACUGGCUUCCUUGCUUUGCUCUUCCUGGACAUCUUCCUCGACAUUCAUCUUUCCAUCCUACCAAGAGCGUGGAAACCACAGGGCAUGAGGACAGGCGGAGACAACGCUGGACCAUCUCACAGCCACAUCAAGAGGCUGCCCACAUCAGGGCUUUCUACGUGGUUGCAAGGAACACAAACCUGUGUGCUCCAUUUGCCCACUGGCACUAGGCCUCCUGCCCACCACCCGCUUCUAGGCUAUUCGAGCCGCAGGAGCUACAGGCUGCUAGAGAACCCUGCGGCAGGAUGCUGGGCGCGGUUCAGCUUUUGCCAGGGAGCAGCAUGGGACUGGGAUUUGGAAGGUGUACAGUGGCUGCGGGCUUUAGCAGGAGGAGUGUCUACAGCACCUUCUGCUCCUCCAGGUAACCUAGUGUUUUUAUCAGUAUCCAUUUUCCUGUGUGGAUCUCUUCUGCUUGAAACCUGUCCUGCCUAUUUUUCUUCCCUGGACCCUGACUGAUACACUCUUAAAACGAGAAAAGGGUACCGAUUUAUAAAGUUCGUGAAUUAAAAACUACACCAGUCAUGGAAACUCAAUGACAUCACUCAAAGAAAAUUCACAACUCUAGCCUUGAGUUAGCUCCCUCAAUAGUAUGAUGAGGUCAUGCAGAUAGAAUCAUACAGUUAUUAACAAAAGUAGUUGAUGUUAACCGAGUAAUCAGUUUUAUCUGUGUUCCUUUGAGACAGAGAGAGAGAGUGAGAAAGAGAGCGUGAGCAAGUGAGUGCACAUACUAUUGUUAAAGUCUUCUCUCUAAAGUUUUAAUAUCUGAUAUACCAUAAACACCCAGAUAAAGAACUUUAGAGAAACUGGUUAAAAAGAUUUAAAAUUCCCAACUGUAAUAAAUCCCUAAAAUGAAUACCAAAAAAAUGUUUUUA
rnacentral:lncRNA from 1 species